rnacentral:rRNA from 1 species
UACGUAGGGUGCGAGCGUUGUCCGGAAUUAUUGGGCGUAAAGAGCUUGUAGGCGGUUUGUCGCGUCUGCUGUGAAAAUCCGGGGCUCAACCCCGGACUUGCAGUGGGUACGGGCAGGCUAGAGUGUGGUAGGGGAGACUGGAAUUCCUGGUGUAGCGGUGGAAUGCGCAGAUAUCAGGAGGAACACCGAUGGCGAAGGCAGGUCUCUGGGCCACUACUGACGCUGAGGAGCGAAAGCGUGGGGAGCAAACAGG